AUUGAACGCUGGCGGCAUGCCUUACACAUGCAAGUCGAACGGUAACGGGCCUUCGGGUGCCGACGAGUGGCGAACGGGUGAGUAAUGCAUCGGAACGUACCUUUCAGUGGGGGAUAACGUAGCGAAAGUUACGCUAAUACCGCAUAUUCUGUGAGCAGGAAAGCAGGGGAUCGCAAGACCUUGCGCUGAUUGAGCGGCCGAUGUCAGAUUAGCUAGUUGGUGAGGUAAAGGCUCACCAAGGCGACGAUCUGUAGCGGGUCUGAGAGGAUGAUCCGCCACACUAGAACUGAGACACGGUCCAGACUCCUACGGGAGGCAGCAGUGGGGAAUUUUGGACAAUGGGGGCAACCCUGAUCCAGCCAUGCCGCGUGAGUGAAGAAGGCCUUCGGGUUGUAAAGCUCUUUCGGCCGGGAAGAAAUCGUAUGGGUUAAUACCCUGUGCGGAUGACGGUACCGGCAUAAGAAGCACCGGCUAACUACGUGCCAGCCGCCGCCGUAA
rnacentral:rRNA from 1 species